UACAGGACUGCACAAACAGC
rnacentral:miRNA from 1 species